AUGACCACAAUGGCAGCUGCCACCCUGCUGCGUGCGAUGCCCCACUUCAGCAGUCUCACUGCCAGCCUGACAUUCCUGCUGCAGGGUUUGUUGCGGCCACUGAAGACCCCGGCAUUGUCCCUCUUGUGCCUUGGUGCGACAAGCCGCAUGUGAAUGUAGGUACCGUCGGCCAUGUGGACCAUGGCGAGACCACACUGACUGCAGCCAUCACGAAGACUCUAGUCGAGGGAAAUGUGGCUAAGUUCAAGAAGUACAAGGAGAUUGACAAUGCUCCGGAGGAGCGAGCUCAGGGUAUCACCAUCAAUGCAGCCGAUGUGGAGUAUAGCACUGCAGCCCGCCACUAUGCCCACAGAGACUACCAGGGUCAUACAGAUUAUGUUAAGAAUAUGCUCAUGACCAGGCAUGGCACCGGACCCCUUGACGGCUGCAUCCUGGUGGUAGCAGCCAAUGACAGCCGCAUGCCCCAGACCCGAGAGCACUUCUUACUGGCCAGACAGAUUGGGGUGGAGCAUGUGGUGGUGUGCAUGAACAAGGCUGACACUGUCCAGGACUCUGAGAUGGUGGAGCUGGUGGAGCUGGUGAUCUGGGAGAUGCUCCCCAAGUUUGGCUAUAAAGGGGAGGAGACCCCAGUCAUUGUAGGCUCUGCUCUCUGUGCCCUUGAGGAUUGGGACCCUGACUUAGGCCUGAAGUCUGUGCAGAAGCUGCCAAACGCUGUGGACACUUACAUCCCGGUGCCCACCUGGGACCUGGAGAAGCCUUUCCUGCUACCCAUGGAGUCAGGGUACUCCAUCCCUGGCCAUGGCUCUGUGGCAACAGGAAUGCUAGAACGUGGCAUUUUAAAGAAGGGAGAUGACUGUGAGCUCCUGGGACAUAGCAAAAGCACCCGCACUGUGGUGACCGGCACUGAGAUGGUUCACAAGAGCCUAGAGAGGGCCGAGGCUGGAGAUAACCUCAGGGCCCUGGUCCAAGGCUUGAGGAGGGAGGACCUAUGGCGGGGCCUGGCCAUGGUCAAGCAGGUUCCGUCCAGCCCUGCCCCAAGGUGGAGGCCCAGGUUUAUAUCCUCAGCAAGGAGAAAGGUGGCCACCACAGCCCUUUGUGUCCCAAUAUAUCCUAUCAUGUUCUCCCUGACUUGGGACAUGGCCUGUUGGGUUAUCCUGUCCCCAGGGAGGAGCUUGCUAUGCCCAGGAGGACCUGAAGCUCAACCUAAUCUUGCAGCAGCCAAUGAUCUUAGAGAAAGGCCAGCAUUUCACCCUUCGAGAUGGCAACCGGACAUCGGCCCCAGUCUAGUCACCGACACACCGGCCAUGACUAAGGAGGAGAAGAACAUCAAGUGGGCUUGA